GACGAACGCUUUCGGCGUGCUUAACACAUGCAAGUCGAACGGAAAGGCCCUGCUUUUGUGGGGUGCUCGAGUGGCGAACGGGUGAGUAACACGUGAGUAACCUGCCCUUGACUUUGGGACAACUUCAGGAAACUGGGGCUAAUACCGGAUAGGAGCUCCUGCUGCAUGGUGGGGGUUGGAAAGUUUCGGCGGUUGGGGAUGGACUCGCGGCUUAUCAGCUUGUUGGUGGGGUAGUGGCUUACCAAGGCUUUGACGGGUAGCCGGCCUGAGAGGGUGACCGGCCACAUUGGGACUGAGAUACGGCCCAGACUCCUACGGGAGGCAGCAGUGGGGAAUAUUGCACAAUGGGCGGAAGCCUGAUGCAGCAACGCCGCGUGCGGGAUGACGGCCUUCGGGUUGUAAACCGCUUUCGCCUGUGACGAAGCGUGAGUGACGGUAAUGGGUAAAGAAGCACCGGCUAACUACGUGCCAGCAGCCGCGGUGAUACGUAGGGUGCGAGCGUUGUCCGGAUUUAUUGGGCGUAAAGGGCUCGUAGGUGGUUGAUCGCGUCGGAAGUGUAAUCUUGGGGCUUAACCCUGAGCGUGCUUUCGAUACGGGUUGACUUGAGGAAGGUAGGGGAGAAUGGAAUUCCUGGUGGAGCGGUGGAAUGCGCAGAUAUCAGGAGGAACACCAGUGGCGAAGGCGGUUCUCUGGGCCUUUCCUGACGCUGAGGAGCGAAAGCGUGGGGAGCGAACAGGCUUAGGUACCCUGGUAGUCCACGCUGUAAACGGUGGGUACUAGGUGUGGGGUCCAUUCCACGGGUUCCGUGCCGUAGCUAACGCUUUAAGUACCCCGCCUGGGGAGUACGGCCGCAAGGCUAAAACUCAAAGGAAUUGACGGGGCCCCGCACAAGCGGCGGAGCAUGCGGAUUAAUUCGAUGCAACGCGUAGAACCUUACCUGGGUUUGACAUGGAUCGGGAGUGCUCAGAGAUGGGUGUGCCUCUUUUGGGGUCGGUUCACAGGUGGUGCAUGGCUGUCGUCAGCUCGUGUCGUGAGAUGUUGGGUUAAGUCCCGCAACGAGCGCAACCCUUGUUCACUGUUGCCAGCACGUUAUGGUGGGGACUCAGUGGAGACCGCCGGGGUCAACUCGGAGGAAGGUGGGGAUGACGUCAAGUCAUCAUGCCCCUUAUGUCCAGGGCUUCACGCAUGCUACAAUGGCUGGUACAGAGAGUGGCGAGCCUGUGAGGGUGAGCGAAUCUCGGAAAGCCGGUCUCAGUUCGGAUUGGGGUCUGCAACUCGACCUCAUGAAGUCGGAGUCGCUAGUAAUCGCAGAUCAGCAACGCUGCGGUGAAUACGUUCCCGGGGCU
rnacentral:rRNA from 1 species